GAUUUUUGUAUUAACAAAUCACUGGAAAACUCAAGCAAACUGACACCUACACAACUAAGGCCUGAGAACUGGGUAUCUGCUGCUUAAUUCUAUGACUCUGUUUCUGUUAUUGCUUAAUCGUUCGGGUCAUUUCCGAAACUUAAGCAGGCUGGGAUGACUCAGAAAGGAUUAGCAGAAGAGGGUCACUGGCUGCUCUCUCGAGAGCCUUAUGAAGGUGAAGAAGAAGAAGAAGAAGAA